UUAUGUUGCCAGCACGUGAUGGUGGGGACUCGUAAGAGACUGCCGGGGUCGAACUCGGAGGAAGGUGGGGACGGACGUCAAGUCAUCAUGCCCCUUACUGUCCAGGGCUUCACACAUGCUACAAUGGCCAGUACAGAGGGCUGCGAGACCGUGAGGUGGAGCGAAUCCCUUAAAGCUGGUCUCAGUUCGGAUCGGGGUCUGCAACUCGACCCCGUGAAGUCGGAGUCGCUAGUAAUCGCAGAUCAGCAACGCUGCGGUGAAUACGUUCCCGGGCCUU
rnacentral:rRNA from 1 species